UCCCUGAUGGCUCAGAUGGUAAAGAAUCUGCCUGCAAUGCAGGAGACCCAGGUUUGAUCUCUGGGUCAGGAAG
rnacentral:tRNA from 1 species